AUUGAACGCUGGCGGCACGCCUAACACAUGCAAGUCGAGCGGCAGCAUGCUUAGUAGCAAUACUAAGUGAUGGCGAGCGGCGGACGGGUGAGGAACACGUAGGAACCUGCCCAAGAGAGGGGGAUAACUAAGGGAAACUUUAGCUAAUACCGCAUAAUCUCUGAGGAGAAAAGUUGCCCGUAAGGGUAGCGCUUUUGGAGGGGCCUGCGUCCGAUUAGCUAGUUGGUGAGGUAAUAGCUCACCAAGGCGAUGAUCGGUAACUGGUCUGAGAGGACGACCAGUCACCCGGGGACUGAGACACGGCCCAGACUCCUACGGGAGGCAGCAGUGGGGAAUCUUGGACAAUGGAGGCAACCCUGAUCCAGCGAUGCCGCGUGGGUGAAGAAGGCCUUCGGGUUGUAAAGCCCUUUAGGCGGGGAAGAAGAAUAUGGGAUGAAUAAUCCUGUAUUUUGACGGUACCCGCAGAAUAAGCACCGGCAAACUCUGUGCCAGCCGCCGCGGUAA
rnacentral:rRNA from 1 species